GAUGAACGCUGGCGGCGUGCCUAAUACAUGCAAGUCGAGCGAACAGAUGAGGAGCUUGCUCCUCUGACGUUAGCGGCGGACGGGUGAGUAACACGUGGAUAACCUACCUAUAAGACUGGGAUAACUUCGGGAAACCGGAGCUAAUACCGGAUAAUAUAUUGAACCGCAUGGUUCAAUAGUGAAAGACGGUUUUGCUGUCACUUAUAGAUGGAUCCGCGCCGCAUUAGCUAGUUGGUAAGGUAACGGCUUACCAAGGCAACGAUGCGUAGCCGACCUGAGAGGGUGAUCGGCCACACUGGAACUGAGACACGGUCCAGACUCCUACGGGAGGCAGCAGUAGGGAAUCUUCCGCAAUGGGCGAAAGCCUGACGGAGCAACGCCGCGUGAGUGAUGAAGGUCUUCUGAUCGUAAAACACUGUUAUUAGGGAAGAACAAAUGUGUAAGUAACUAUGCACGUCUUGACGGUACCUAAUCAGAAAGCCACGGCUAACUACGUG
rnacentral:rRNA from 1 species